GUGGGGAAUAUUGCACAAUGGGGGGAACCCUGAUGCAGCCAUGCCGCGUGAAUGAAGAAGGCCUUCGGGUUGUAAAGUUCUUUCGGUGAUGAGGAAGGUGUUUGUUUUAAUAGAACAAGCAAUUGACGUUAGUCACAGAAGAAGCACCGGCUAACUCCGUGCCAGCAGCCGCGGUAAUACGGAGGGUGCGAGCGUUAAUCGGAAUGACUGGGCGUAAAGGGCACGCAGGCGGUGACUUAAGUGAGAUGUGAAAGCCCCGGGCUUAACCUGGGAAUUGCAUUUCAUACUGGGUCGCUAGAGUAUUUUAGGGAGGGGUAGAAUUCCACGUGUAGCGGUGAAAUGCGUAGAGAUGUGGAGGAAUACCGAAGGCGAAGGCAGCCCCUUGGGAAUAUACUGACGCUCAUGUGCGAAAGCGUGGGGAGCAAACAGGAUUAGAAACCCUAGUAGUCC
rnacentral:rRNA from 1 species